GCAAGUCGAGCGAGAAGGUUAAGAUGGAUUCUUCGGAUGAUAGAUUAACUGGAAAGCGGCGGACGGGUGAGUAACGCGUGGGUAACCUACCCCAUACACAGGGAUAGCCAUUGGAAACGAUGAUUAAUACCUGAUAACACAUAAUGGUCGCAUGACUAUGAUGUCAAAGAUUUAUCGGUAUGGGAUGGACCCGCGUCUGAUUAGCUAGUUGGUGAGGUAAAAGCUUACCAAGGCGACGAUCAGUAGCCGACCUGAGAGGGUGAUCGGCCACACUGGAACUGAGACACGGUCCAGACUCCUACGGGAGGCAGCAGUGGGGAAUAUUGCACAAUGGGCGCAAGCCUGAUGCAGCAACGCCGCGUGAGCGAAGAAGGUCUUCGGAUCGUAAAGCUCUUUUCUUAGGGAAGAAAAAUGACGGUACCUAAGGAAUAAGCACCGGCUAAAUACGUGCCAGCAGCCGCGGUAAUACGUAUGGUGCAAGCGUUAUCCGGAAUCACUGGGCGUAAAGGGUACG
rnacentral:rRNA from 1 species